rnacentral:rRNA from 1 species
UGGAGGUAGUGACAAUAAAUCACAAUGCGGAACAAUGUUUUGCAAUUGGAUUGAGAACAACGUACAAACCUUAUCGAUAAACAAUUGGAGGGCAAGUCUGGUGCCAGCAGCCGCGGUAAUUCCAGCUCCAAUAGCGUAUAUUAACGUUGUUGCAGUUAAAAAGCUCGUAGUUGAAAUGAAGGGUAGUUGUGUAAUGAAUACAUUCGUGUAUUUUGUUAUUCUACUACCCUCCUUCUAAAUUCGAUAUAUGAGUAUUAAUUUACUUGUAUAUGGUUUUAGACCUUUACUGUGAGAAAAUUAGAGUGUUCAAAGCAGGCAUUUGCUUGAAUAUAUUAGCAUGGAAUAAUCAUGUAUGAUUUUCAUGAUGUAUUUGAUUGGUUUGGUUCAUGAGAAUAAGAUUAAAAGGGACAGUUGGGGGUAUUCAUAUUCAAUAGCCCGAGGAUGAAAUUCUCGGAUUUAUGGAAGAUGAACAAGUGC